GAGGGUGUAGCUCAGUGGUAGAGCAUGUGCUUAAUAUGCACGAGAUCCUGGGUUCAAUCCCCAGUAUCUCCA
rnacentral:tRNA from 1 species